CCUACGGGGGGCUGCAGUGGGGAAUAUUGGACAAUGGGGGCAACCCUGAUCCAGCCAUGCCGCGUGUGUGAAGAAGGCCCUCGGGUUGUAAAGCACUUUCAGUGAGGAAGAACGCCUGGUGGUUAAUACCCAUCAGGAAAGACAUCACUCACAGAAGAAGCACCGGCUAACUCCGUGCCAGCAGCCGCGGUAAUACGGAGGGUGCGAGCGUUAAUCGGAAUUACUGGGCGUAAAGCGCGCGUAGGUGGCUUGAUAAGCCGGUUGUGAAAGCCCCGGGCUCAACCUGGGAACGGCAUCCGGAACUGUCAAGCUAGAGUGCAGGAGAGGAAGGUAGAAUUCCCGGUGUAGCGGUGAAAUGCGUAGAGAUCGGGAGGAAUUCCAGUGGCGAAGGCGGCCUUCUGGACUGACACUGACACUGAGGUGCGAAAGCGUGGGUAGCAAACAGGAUUAGAUACCCCGGUAGUC
rnacentral:rRNA from 1 species